GCCGAAGUGGCGGAAUUGGUAGACGCGCUGGAUUCAAAAUCCUGUGUCCGCAAGGGCGUGUGGGUUCGAGUCCCACCUUCGGCACCA
rnacentral:tRNA from 1 species